UGGAAUGUAGCCAAGGGGUAAGGCAACGAACUUUGACUUCGUCAUGCGGAGGUUCGAAUCCUCCCAUUCCAG
rnacentral:tRNA from 1 species